rnacentral:tRNA from 1 species
GCUGGUGUGGCUCAGUCGGUAGAGCAGCUGAUUCGUAAUCAGCAGGUCGCAGGUUCAAGUCCAGUCACCAGCUCCA